rnacentral:misc_RNA from 1 species
UUGAUUAACGUACGUUUCUACUCAAUAAUUUAUUACAAUCUUCUAUAACCUACUAUUUGAUUAUCUUUAUUGCGUUACCAUGUUUUUGGUUGUCACAUUUGCCGGUAGUUCGUAUAAUGAACUUUUAAAAACAAUUUGAUCUUGACCAUUGUUUCACUUUUAUACAAUUUGUUCUUUUAAUACAUUUAUUCUAUUGUUUUGGUCUAUCUUUGUUGAGAUUAUCAGCAGAUUAUGAGGAAACUUAGGAAACAUUAGAAGGACGCCAUGAAAUUAACAAACAUGGCGCGGAAUGAAAAAGAAUGGAAGGUGAUCGGCGAUUAAUUCAACAAGUUCUUGUGGAGAUUUGGUUUGAACAUAUUUUGCGCAUCGCGUCUUUUUCGUAUUACGCAGCUUUGUUUAACUGUAAAAAAGAGUGCGCCAUAUUUUAUCGGUACAAACUAUGUUCGAAACUAUAAUUGCGAACAUUCACUGUCUGAUUUUUACAAAUCAAUUAUAUUAUGAAAUCGUAAACAUUUAACAUUAAUAAUAUUUUUAACGUAUUAAUUAAAUAUUUGAUGUUGUUAAUAUAGUAGUAAUAUUUUCAUGAACAAACACUCGGAGUUGUUGGAAGAAAAAGAGAUAUGAAAAAAAUAUAUUGCUUCUUUUCUUUAACCCCUACCCUUUAAUAAAGUUUUUCUUUCAGAGAAUUUUUGUGAUCGCGCGCAAUGCGGUCGUUAGAGUCAAUG